GGGGGACCUUCGGGCCUCUUGCCAUCGGAUGUGCCCAGAUGGGAUUAGCUAGUAGGUGGGGUAACGGCUCACCUAGGCGACGAUCCCUAGCUGGUCUGAGAGGAUGACCAGCCACACUGGAACUGAGACACGGUCCAGACUCCUACGGGAGGCAGCAGUGGGGAAUAUUGCACAAUGGGCGCAAGCCUGAUGCAGCCAUGCCGCGUGUAUGAAGAAGGCCUUCGGGUUGUAAAGUACUUUCAGCGGGGAGGAAGGGAGUAAAGUUAAUACCUUUGCUCAUUGACGUUACCCGCAGAAGAAGCACCGGCUAACUCCGUGCCAGCAGCCGCGGUAAUACGGAGGGUGCAAGCGUUAAUCGGAGUGACGGGGCGUAAAGCGCACGCAGGCGGUUUGUUAAGUCAGAUGUGACAUCCUCUCGACUACAAGUCU
rnacentral:rRNA from 1 species